AUCUGAGAUAGAGGCGCGAACUUUAAUAGUAAAACUGUGGAGCUAAGCACGAUGAUGCAGUUUGAAAGGAAAUUUCGCCGAAGUAUGCAACUAAUCGCUUUAAGGUUGUACUACUGGUUUUACAUAGAAUAUAUGUAAGACUGUCACAAACUUAUUUGUGGAGAGCUAUUAUUCUU
rnacentral:ncRNA from 2 species